AAUAAAUGCUGGUAUAUCUAGUGCAUUGUUGGCACCACGGGACCAGAAGGCAGUGACCCCCCUGGACCCAGCUUUCACUAUCUUGUGUGUGUCUGUUAUUUCUCAAUCUGCUGAUCUGCCUAACAACAGAGAGCCCCGUUGCAUUGCAGGCUGCUGGCCAGAUCCUGCAAUAUCUGGUGCCCAAUGUGGCCUUCUUUGUUCCUUGGCUCAGUGCACUCCAAGUGCCGUUUGUGAUGACUAGUCUUCAGUCUUGAAGGCUGUGAACAUUUGCAUUGCAUUGGACAUUUCUGUUCUUUGAAACUUAACUAAAAUUCUCAAAAGAAUCAUAAGGAAUCCAUUAUUAUUCACAUUAUCAUUGACAACUGUGAGAAUCUGCAGAAAAAAACAAUAUGGAACUACAACUUCACGUUCUUGAGAAAAGCUUGCAGUGUAAGAUGCGUUUGUUUGUGGUGCCUGAGGAAGAGAGGUUGGUGAAAUUGCACUUGGACUCAGUGAAUCGGAAAUAGUUUUAACUCUCCAGUGGAACACACUGUGAAGUUGUCAAGUCCCUUGAUUUCUCAACGAUACCAACUAGUUCAAUAAGCAAAGAGAGUAUGCUUGUGCCUACUUGUUGCCCAAUGAAAGAAUCAAAUAAUUUCACUGAUUCCAGCAGCAGAAAAAGAGAGUUGGUAGUGCUGAGCUGCUGAAGGUUCAUUACUGCUUAGCCUUGAGAAUGGAGGCCCCACUUGGUACUCUUCAUAAGAGAUGCCCCAACUCGUCAAAGGAAUUAUGGUAAUCUCCUUACUUUCUGUUGCACAUUCUUCCCUCUGCUAAUCUCAGUACACUCAUACUAACUUUCUUGUCUGUUAAGUGAUCUCACAUGUUUUGAAACCAAGUUCAGAUAAACUCACAAGUGGGUUAAGGGGCCAGAAUAGUUUAAAAGAAAUACAAUUACUUCAUUAUCUCACUUACAUGUGAACUUUAAAAUGUUGACCUUAUAAAAGUAGAGACCAGAAUAGUGGUUACCAGAGGCUGGGGGGUAGGGGCAUGGGAGGUGUUGAUCAAAGGUACAAAAUUUCAGUUAGGGAAGAGGAAUAAGAUUUUGAGAUCUACUGUACAGAAUGGUGACAAUAGUUAAUAAUAAUAUAUUGUAUAUUUCAAAAUUACUGAAAAAGUAGAUUUUAAAUGUCCUCACUACAAAAAAUGAUAAGUAUAAGAGGUGAUAGAUAUGUUACUUAGCUUGAUAUAAUCAUUAAAUGAUGAAUAUAUAUCAAAACAUCAAGUACAAUUACUAAUCAAGUAAUUUAAAAAAAAAAUUAAAGGAAAGACAGGCAGAAGGAAUUAUUAUUGCUGUGUUGAUGAAACAGAAUGAACAAAAGAUAAAUUUUGUUUCCGGAAUUUAAAAAUGAGAGUUUCUUAAUUUAAAAAAUGUGAUAAUGUAAGACAAGACUUGGAAAGGCAAAUAAAGGUAACAUUUUACAGAAAUAAUAAAAAAUGCAACGCUAUAAAAUAACUAAUAAUAUCCCAUGAAAUACACAGAAAAUAUUCCAAAAGUUCAAGCAGAACUCAAAGAAACAGAUGAGAUCAGAGAGAGAGAGAGACAGAGACAGAGAGAGAGAGAGAGAGAAAGAGAAUGUUAGAAUAGGAGCAUAACAGUGAGAAAUAAGAUCUAAUUAUUCAUGUUAUAUUUAACUGCUUGCUCAAUCUUAGAAAGUGCAAUAAAAAAUUUCAGAAAUGCUAACCUAAAUUCUGCAAAAAUCUUCCUAACUAGACUUUAAUAUUUGUUUAAAAGUGUGUUUGUUUUGAGCUUGAAGGUAUAUAGUCCAAAUGUAGUCCUCAUGCUUUAGCUGGGUUAGUUCAUUAGCCAUUUCAGGGUGAUCAUAUUAUUUAUUUGAAUUUAGUUUGGUUCAUCUAUUUCUGUUUGAAUUUUAUUUAUGGUACCUUUGCCAUAAUUAUUGAUUAUUUUUGUUCUCUCACACUCUCUCAUACGUGAAAUAUUUACAUGGUUCCAAUUAUCAGAAGCAUACCAUAAUGUAUAUUCAGAGAACUGACAUGUUACCCCCUUCAUUCUAUUAUUUUCACUAUGUUCCCAUCCACCUCUGCUUUCUGGCUUAGUAUUCCCACUUUUGAUUUUAGAGGAGCCACCAGAAUGUUUUAUUAUCUCCUCCCAUUUUUAAACACAACAUAGAGUAUAGUUUUUUUAUACUUUUAUUUUACCUAAAAAUAGCCUGCUACAUAUUAUAAUUAUAUAUACAAUUAUAAUAUAAUCAUACUCUAUUAACUUAAAAUUUUCUUUUUUUACAGUUACAUAGUACUCUGUGUCUGCAUACAUUUCUGAUUUAGUCAAUCUCCUUUGUUUUGACAUUUAGCUAAUUUUAACUAUAAUAUUUUAAAUUAUACAUUUAAUUGGACAUUUAGCUAAUUUUAAACUAUAAUAUUUUAAAUAGUUAAAAUAGCUAAUUUUAACUAUUUAAAAUAUUAUAGUUAAAAAUUAGCUAAAUGUCCAAACACGAGGGCUCACGCCUGUAAUCCCAGCACUUUGGGAGGCCAAGGCAGGUGGAUCAUGAGGUUAGGAGAUCGAGACCAUCCUGACUGACAUGGUGAAACCCUGUCUCUACUAAAAAUACAAAAAAUUAGCAGGGCGUGGUGGCACGCGUCUGUAGUCCCAGCUACUCAGGAGGCUGAGUCAGGAGAAUCAUUUGAACCCAGGAGGUGGAGGCUGCAGUGAGCCAGAGCUCACCACUGCACUCUGGCCUGGGUGACAGAGUGAGACUCUGUCUAAAAAAAAGAAAAGAAAAAAAAAAAGAAAAUUAUAAUUAUUGCAUACACACACACACACACACACACACACACACACAUAUAUCCUAUCUUCUGCUUAAAUUUGUGAUAUCCUAUCUUUUGCUUAGAUUUGUGGAAGUGAAAUUGCUUAGCCGUAAGUUACUAUGUAGAUUUUUUGGAUAAAACCAAAAAUCCUUCUUUAGGAAUGUGCAUUUCCUCAGAAGUUCAUGGGAGUGCAUUUUCCACAUAUCCUCACCAAAGAGUGCUGUAACUCCUCCAUCAGCCUGUCUGUCUCUCUCUCUCAUCUUUCUAUCUAAACUUGGCUAAAAUGACAUAAAAGAAAUAAUAUCUCAGUUUAUAUUGAUAAUUCCCUUAUAAUAAGAAAAGUUAAAUAAAUGUUCAUAUGUCUAAGAGCUUUUGACAUAUUCUUGUGAGUUGUCAGUUUACAUCUCUGCCCUUAUGUUUCUAUCAAAUUUUUAGUCUUUUCCUCCCAAUUUGUAUUAAUUAAAAAAGUCUUUUAUUGUUAAAAUAAUGUUGCAAAUAUUUUCUCCCAGUUUUUCAAUUGUAUUUUGAUGUUUCUAUAUGGUGUUUUUGCUUUGCAAAGUUUUUCUUUCUCUUUUUUUUUUUUUUUUGGAUGUAGUCAAAUGUUCCACUAAUUUUUUUCAUUACCUCUGAAAUUUUAUUCAGACUUAGAAGAAUUUUACCUACAUAGGGUUAUAUAGAAAUUCAUCUCUGUUUUAUCUCAUCCUGAAAUGUUUUGAUUUCUUUAAAAAAGUAAAUACUACAUUUAUUUUAAUUAUUAUUUUAUAUAAUGUGAGAAGGGAUUUAAUUAUGUCUUUUUCAAAAUGGCAAACUGAUUGAUUGAUUGAUCCCAGAGCUAUGCAUUACAAAUCUCCUCAUCACCUCAGUGUUUUAAGAUUCUACCUUUAUCAUAAACUAAAGUUUAUUUUUUACUUGCAUUUAUUUCUAUUAUAUAACUACUUCUUUAUCCUAUUUCACUGUAUGUCUGCAUGCACCAAUGCACAGUUUUAAUUGUAAGGUUUUUAUAUAGUAUGUUUAGUAUCGGGUAAAGCUAAUUUCUUCCCCUAUACUACAGCUUUCUUUUUAGUAUUUCCAAGUUAAUUUUGUAUAUUUACUUGUGUAUUUUUGUACAUUUUGUAUACUUUUAUAUGUUUAUAUUUCUUUUGUAUAUUUUUUAUAUUUAUUUUGUAUGUUUAUUUUUACAUGUAAUUUCAGUAUCAACUUGUCUAAUUAUGUAAAGAAACUUAUUAACAUAGAGAUUGCAGCCAAAUUAUAAAUUAACUUAUAGGGAGCUAAGCUGUAUUCUAUAAAGUUUAAGCACCUCACACAAAAGUAAAAGACUUCUUCCCAUUUUAAUAAUUUUAAUUUUAUAUUUUUCAGGCCUUUUAAAUUUUUUUCAUGUAGAUUUUACACAUUUCUUCUUACACUUAUCUCUUAGUAUUUUAUAGUUAUUGUUGAAUAUUGAUUUUAUGUGUUAUUAUGUUACCUGUGUAACUAUGUUACCUGUGUUACCUGUGUUAUGUUACCUGUGUAACUAUGUUACAUGUGUUACUUGUGUAUAUGUAUUAGAUAUGCUAUUUUAAUGUUUACUGUACUGUUGAAUUGUUUUAUUUUAAUUUAGUUUUAUUACUGAAUCUCUACGGUUUUCUAGUUACAAAACCUUAUCAUCUACAAAUAUAAAUAGCUUUCCUUUUUGUUUCUGAUUCUUAUGUCUCUAAAUGAUUCAUUUUGUCUAACUGAAUUGGCUAACCUCUACUAUUAAGUUGAACAUUAGUAAGAAGAGUGCAAUACAUUCUUUAAAAUCUUAUUGGAAAUACAAGUAGUGUUUCUGAAUUAAGUAAAAUACUGAUUCUAGGACUAAGAUUAUAUAAAAUUCCCAUAUCAUGUUAAGAAAGUAAACAUCAAUUAACAAUUUUGUACUUUUUUUCAUCUCUCAGGAAUAAAUCAUACAUUUUGUAAAGGACUUUCCAUCUUCUGUAGAGGAAAAAUAGCUGGUUUUUACUUUUAGAUGUAUGAAUAUGGUGUGCAGAAAGAGUUAACAUAUAGCAGACCUGAUUUCUAUCCUUCGAAAGGCCUGAUUAAAAGAUUAGGCUUGGCUGAUGCUGAGAACUUAGAUUUUGGAAGGAUUACCAUCACUCUGAUGGGUAAGAAUGGCUCACUGUGCCUAAACUGCUUGUACAAAAAAUGUAGUUUAUGCUAACCUUUUUCUUUCCUUCUAGGAGUCUGGAAUUUUGAUAGGUGCUAGGCAGAAGGUGCCUCCUGACUAUCCCCUAAUAGAAACCCUAGGCACUAAAUCCCUAAUGAGCUUCCCUGGUGGACAGCAUUUCAUGUAUGUUGUCCAAAGUUGUUGCUGAGGGAAUUAAGCACAGCCCAUAUGAUUCCACAGGGAAAGGACUCCUAGAAACUUUCAUACUUGUUUUUCACUGGACAUUGCCGCAUAUGCCUUUUCCCUUUACUUAUAUGCUUUGCAUCCUUUUACUGUAAUAUAUGAUAGCCAUGAAUAAGACUAUGAGUCCUCCUAGCAAAUCAUCAAACCAGAAGAUUCAUAUGGUUUUUAUAUCAAUGAAUUUCCUAAUAUUGUAUCAAUAUCAUAUUCCCAGAAUAAAUCACACUUGAUCAAAAUGUAUCA
rnacentral:lncRNA from 1 species